GCACAAUAAAUAAAUAAAUAAAUACUCACAUGAAUUUUAUUUUAAUAGGAGAAAUGUCCAAUUUUAAAAUUAAUUAAAAAUCAAUUUUUUUUUAUCAAAAAUAAAAGUUAAAAAUAAAUAAAUAAAAAAUCUACACAUUUUUUUUAGUAAGCUGGUGAAGCAGUAGUUGUAUGUGUAGAAGAGGACGUUGCCGGAGAAUUAGAAUGCACACCGCCACAGUCGGAGUGACUGUGGCUUCUGUCGCGCUCAGAGGAACGUUCUGAGCGCGACGACUUGUUGUUGUGCUGCCUUAGGGUUCCACCCGAUACAUGAUCAUGGAGUGGACCCUUUGGAUGAGUGGCAAUAGGUGCAUAGAUUCCAUUUGAGUUGGCAACUCCCGAUGCGUCGCCCGAGGCCACUGGAGCACCAGCGGCCAUCGAGGCGUAUUCGGGUGGUGGGACCCAUAUUCCUCCGACGACCACAAAUUGUGGUGGUUGUUGGUUGUUGUUGUUGUGAAUUGAUGAAGGACUAGGUCUUCUCGUGUGUAAUCGAUAUUUCUGUAAAUGACUCUUAACUUCAUCAUUAGUAAGUCCAUCCACCUUCAUUAACUCCCUAAUUUGUUUUGGUGUAGCAACAUGAGAGCCACCUAGUUGUUGUAAGGCAUGUAAAAAUCUUCUAUGCAACUCUGGAGACCAACACCUCCUUUGUUUUCUUUGUCCAUCUUUAUCCUCUUUUUUACUUCCACCGCUAUUCUCCGCGGUGGAACUACCCGUCGCCGCCAACACAACGCCAGCUAGAGCUGGCGUUGUUUCAACGGCGGCGACAGUGUUUUUCUCUUUCUUAAAAGGAUGAAAUGCUCCUCCACUUCCAUUUUUCUUCACUUCUACAACCGACACCUUUUUAGGUGUUAAUUCCUCUUUUGGGGUGGGAUCUGAAGUUUGAUUCCAAAGCUGAACAGAUCUAAGCCAAUCAGAUUUUUU
rnacentral:misc_RNA from 1 species